rnacentral:snoRNA from 1 species
AGUGUAUGCAGUAUACUACACGAGUGGCAAGUCUUUCAAAUCACCAUGGGUCUCUGGCCUGAUAAGUAGAGUUUAACAGUAGUACUUGCUACAAGU